GGACUACUGGGGUAUCUAAUCCCGUUUGCUCCCCUAGCUUUCGAGCAUCAGUGUCAGGAAUUGUCCAGAGACUCGCCUUCGCCACUGGUGUUCCUCUCGAUAUCUACGCAUUUCACUGCUACACCGAGAAUUCCAGUCUCCCCUCCAAUCCUCAAGCAACCCAGUAUCCAAUGCCAUUUCUGAGUUAAGCUCAGAGCUUUCACAUUAGACUUGGAUCGCCACCUACGCUCCCUUUACGCCCAGUAAAUCCGAACAACGCUUGGGACCUCUGUAUUACCGCGGCUGCUGGCAC
rnacentral:rRNA from 2 species